GGGAAAGGAGGGAGGGGGGAAAAGGAAGGGGAGGAAGGGAGAAGAGUUAACCACUGCUUGGCAGUGAUUAAGAAGAAGACUAAGGAUAGGCAGUUGAUCAAUAAUGAGAUCACUGGUGACCCUGGCCAGGGCAAUACUGAACCACUUCUCUGCUUCCUUUUAUAGUAAGCUGGAAAGAGUGUAUCUACUUCCUUUGUCUAUUUUCCUUCUAUUCCUUUUCUGUUGCAGCCACAUGAUUUAGGCUUUGCUCCUGUCCCUCUGCCAAAAGUGUACUUCAGAAUCAUUAAUGAUCUUGGAAGGCGAGCGAGGGAGGGAAUAAAAAAGAAACAAAAUCAUUAAUGAUCUCCACGUUUCUAAAUGCAGCAUUCAGUUCUCAGUCCUCUUACCUGACUUGGCAGCUCCUCACUCCCUCCUCCCUCCUCCUGGGAACAGUUUCUUCACUUGUGUCCUAGCACAGCAGGCCCUUUGGCUCACCCCACCAGCCACUCUUACGAUCCCUUUUCACCCGCCUCAUCUCUAAAUAUUGGUAUGUUCCAGAGCUUAAUCUGUGGACCUUUUCUCUUCUCUGUAACCACUAUCUAGAAAGUGAGCUCACCUCAUGGCUUUAACUAUGAUCUAUAUACACUGAGGAUUCCAAAUACACAUCCCUAACCCAGAACUCACUCCUAAAUGCAACUGCCUAUUCAAAAUCUUGACGCUGAUGUCUGAUGUGCACCUCAAACUUGACAUGUCUGAAAUAUGUCUCUGACAUCAUUUAGCACUAUCUUAUAUACUAUGAAGUCAUCAGUUCGAAGGAGACAAGUUAAAUCUACUCCAAGGUUCACCUCUUUAUUCUAAAAUGCAAUUUCCAUGGGCUCGCACUUGGUUGUUAAACCCAGUGGACACAUGUUCUUCCUUAAAAUGAAAACAGAUGAUUAAGCAAAACUAUGUGACUUUUUGCAUUAUCUCUAAAAUGUUCCCUUCUUAUAUGCAAAUAAAUGUUGAUAAAAUACUGCUAA